rnacentral:pre_miRNA from 1 species
CCCAACGUUUGACCAUUCGUCUUAUUUGAAAUUUUUUAUUAAUAUUUUUAUUAUUACGAGAUGAUAAAAUAUGAAUAGUACUUUAUACGUGACUAAUUUUUUUAAAUUUUUAUAGAAUUUUUUUAAAUAAGACGAAUGGUCAAACGUUGGACACGGAAA